rnacentral:rRNA from 1 species
UGGGGAAUAUUGGACAAUGGGGGGAACCCUGAUCCAGCCAUGCCGCGUGUGUGAAGAAGGCCUUAUGGUUGUAAAGCACUUUAAGCGAGGAGGAGGGUACUGGUAUUAAUACUACCAGGUACUGGACGUUACUCGCAGAAUAAGCACCGGCUAACUCUGUGCCAGCAGCCGCGGUAAUACAGAGGGUGCAAGCGUUAAUCGGAAUUACUGGGCGUAAAGCGCGCGUAGGUGGUUCGUUAAGUUGAAUGUGAAAGCCCCGGGCUCAACCUGGGAACUGCAUCCAAAACUGGCGAGCUAGAGUAGGGCAGAGGGUGGUGGAAUUUCCUGUGUAGCGGUGAAAUGCGUAGAUAUAGGAAGGAACACCAGUGGCGAAGGCGACCACCUGGGCUCAUACUGACACUGAGGUGCGAAAGCGUGGGGAGCAAACAGG